rnacentral:rRNA from 1 species
GUGGGGAAUAUUGGACAAUGGGCGAAAGCCUGAUCCAGCAAUGCCGCGUGAGUGAUGAAGGCCUUAGGGUUGUAAAGCUCUUUUACCCGGGAUGAUAAUGACAGUACCGGGAGAAUAAGCUCCGGCUAACUCCGUGCCAGCAGCCGCGGUAAUACGGAGGGAGCUAGCGUUAUUCGGAAUUACUGGGCGUAAAGCGCACGUAGGCGGCUUUGUAAGUUAGAGGUGAAAGCCUGGAGCUCAACUCCAGAACUGCCUUUAAGACUGCAUCGCUUGAAUCCAGGAGAGGUGAGUGGAAUUCCGAGUGUAGAGGUGAAAUUCGUAGAUAUUCGGAAGAACACCAGUGGCGAAGGCGGCUCACUGGACUGGUAUUGACGCUGAGGUGCGAAAGCGUGGGGAGCAAACAGGAUUAGAUACCCUUGUAGUCC